CGAGCGGACAGAAGGGAGCUUGCUCCCGGAUGUUAGCGGCGGACGGGUGAGUAACACGUGGGUAACCUGCCUGUAAGACUGGGAUAACUCCGGGAAACCGGAGCUAAUACCGGAUAGUUCCUUGAACCGCAUGGUUCAAGGAUGAAAGACGGUUUCGGCUGUCACUUACAGAUGGACCCGCGGCGCAUUAGCUAGUUGGUGGGGUAAUGGCUCACCAAGGCGACGAUGCGUAGCCGACCUGAGAGGGUGAUCGGCCACACUGGGACUGAGACACGGCCCAGACUCCUACGGGAGGCAGCAGUAGGGAAUCUUCCGCAAUGGACGAAAGUCUGACGGAGCAACGCCGCGUGAGUGAUGAAGGUUUUCGGAUCGUAAAGCUCUGUUGUUAGGGAAGAACAAGUGCGAGAGUAACUGCUCGCACCUUGACGGUACCUAACCAGAAAGCCACGGCUAACUACGUGCCAGCAGCCGCGGUAAUACGUAGGUGGCAAGCGUUGUCCGGAAUUAUUGGGCGUAAAGGGCUCGCAGGCGGUUUCUUAAGUCUGAUGUGAAAGCCCCCGGCUCAACCGGGGAGGGUCAUUGGAAACUGGGAAACUUGAGUGCAGAAGAGGAGAGUGGAAUUCCACGUGUAGCGGUGAA
rnacentral:rRNA from 1 species